rnacentral:misc_RNA from 1 species
CCGAGUUUACAACUCCCAAACCCCUGUGAACAUACCACUUGUUGCCUCGGCGGAUCAGCCCGCUCCCGGUAAAACGGGACGGCCCGCCAGAGGACCCCCUAAACUCUGUUUCUAUAUGUAACUUCUGAGUAAAACCAUAAAUAAAUCA